rnacentral:lncRNA from 1 species
UUUCGUCCCGAAAUUUAUUUAAAAGGAAUGUUUGAAAGGGUUUUGGCAAUCAGAAGAUGAUUGUUUAAAAUUGAGGUUUUGGAGUUUGCGACAACGGAGAAUAAUCGAGGUAUAAGGGUGAACGACUGAUCUAAUAAACGAUUAUGAGUUGAAUUAGGUCAAAAAGGUCUGCAAAACAUUGAAUUUCUCAGGGCACGUUUUACGAAGGUUUGGUAACAUGGUGAAAACACUUAU